rnacentral:rRNA from 1 species
GACGAACGCUGGCGGCGUGCUUAACACAUGCAAGUCGAGCGGUAAGGCUCCUUCGGGAGUACACGAGCGGCGAACGGGUGAGUAACACGUGAGCAAUCUGCCCUUCACACUGGGAUAACCCCCGGAAACGGGAGCUAAUACCAGAUACGACCACUUCGGGCAUCCGAUGGGGGUGGAAAGUUCCGGCGGUGAAGGAUGAGCUCGCGGCCUAUCAGCUUGUUGGUGAGGUAAUGGCUCACCAAGGCUUCGACGGGUAGCCGGCCUGAGAGGGUGACCGGCCACACUGGGACUGAGACACGGCCCAGACUCCUACGGGAGGCAGCAGUGGGGAAUAUUGGACAAUGGGCGAAAGCCUGAUCCAGCAACGCCGCGUGAGGGAUGACGGCCUUCGGGUUGUAAACCUCUUUCAGCAGGGACGAAGCGAAAGUGACGGUACCUGCAGAAGAAGGACCGGCCAACUACGUGCCAGCCGCCGCCGUAACAC